rnacentral:lncRNA from 1 species
UGACAGGAAAUUGCUUAAAUAAAUAAGGCAAAAAUUCUGUCUCAAGUAUUCUGAGUCUGGUAAAGAAGACAGACAGACAAGUGCUGUAGUGCGAUACAGGAAAAACAAUAUUAGAUAAAUACACAUAGUAAAAGCUGUGGGCAUAUGUCACACAUAAUAUGACAUUUGAGGUAGAUCUGAAAGCUGAGUGGUCCCCCCGGUGAAGGAGGGAAGAGCACUCCAGCUGUCUAAAUGGGAAAGGUGGCAGUAAAGACAUGGCAGUGUGCUGGAAAGAACAGGCAGUUGUUUCUUCUGCCAAUUUUCCAGGAUGUCCUUAAACCCAAGGUGAAGAAUUUAGGGCUGUUUGCAAGUCCCUUCCAGAGUUUGUUUAUUCAAGCAGUAUUUAUUCGGCAUCGAAUAUUAUAGUAGCUAGUAUUUACUGGGUUCUUAGAAUGUGCCAGAUACAAAGUGCUUUUCAUUUAAUCCUCAAAGUAACCCAUGAGGCAGGAAAAUGUAUCCCUCUAUUUUAUAGAAAAGGAAACUGAGGACUACAAAGAUUAAGUCACUCACCUGAGAUGAGGCAGUUAGGAAAAUCCUGCCCUGGAUUAUAUGUCUGUCUGGUCCCAAAUUCUGUGCCUUCAACGCCAUGAGGAUGUCUUCCCAGGAGGCCCUGCGCAGGAAAAAAAAAAAAAAAAAAGCAGAAAGGCCACAGCACAGCCAGAGGGAGUAGCUCCAUUUGCGGCCACCUGGGAUGUGACAGCCAGCUCGCAUCCUAAAAACAGCUCUGUGUGAAGCACACUUUGAGAGAGCAGAGGAGGCUCAACAGAGAACUUUUUGUGGAGAGAGUUGCCAGAAGUGACCCUGAAAGGGAGAACUCUGGAGAGCCGGCAACAGAAGCAGUUGGAAGCUGCCAUUGAGAAAGCUGCCUCCACCAGGAAGAAAUGUUCCUGGAAGCUGCUGUGAGCGGAGAUGCGGGGGGCCCACCAUCCCCCGAAAUGUCUGCUGAGGCUGCUGCUAAUAGAAGGGCAGGCUGGGGAGACGUUGUAAUCAAAGGUUUUCUGGCCUCUCUGCCAUCUCAGAGAAAACUCUCUUGACAUCAAGGCAACUGACUCCAUUGAUCUUUUAGUAGCCUACUUCCUAAAGAUAUGGAAUAAAAUUCCCUACCUUUAGAUCUUGAUGAGAUUGGUCCCCAGAACUUCUGAGGAGCGGGUUUUAGGCCAACAAUAUGGAAAAAGAGAAAAGGAGAGUGUUGUGUCAGAGAAAGAGAGAACUAUGACCCAGCCAGUAAGUUUCUGGUGGAGGUUAAGCCUUUGGAGGAAAAUACAGGGUUGCAUAUACCAUAUAUAUAUGGUAUGUGUAAAAAUAAUAUAUCCUAUAGGAUUAACCUAAAUAAGUAAAGUUGUACUCCAUGCCAGUUUUCACUCUGAAAUAUAAAUAACUCCCGGAAUUGAGGAUUUCCGUGAUACCAAAUGGUAAUCAGAACAAUUUGAGUCACAUUGGGAAUGAGAUUCUUGAACAGAAAUUUAGCAUAUUUCACUACACUUGUGCCUGGGCUGUAGAGAAUAGGAGCUGAGAGCCUGAGCCUCAAAGGGGACUGCCUGGCACAGAUUCCAGUCUUUUCUACCUGAUAGCCAUGCAACCAUUAAUGACGACUCCUUGCUUCUCUGAGAGCAGAGAUUUUGUCGGUUGUAUUCUCUGCUGAAUCUCCCAUGCCUGGAAUAUGCCUACCACAUUGUCAUAACUCAAUAACAAUCUGUUCAACUAAACUGAAUUGAAUAGCAUUGUCAGAGUCAUUCUUGUCAAAUAUUUGUUAGAUAUUCUGCAUAGUGUGGUGCACUUGAUGUUGGAAAAUUCAGAACAAACUUAUAAGGAUUCCAGCAGACUUUUAUCCAGAAUCUACAAAGAACUCUUACAAGUUAAUAAGACAAACAACCCAAUUAAAACAUUGGCAAAAGAUCUGAAUAGACAUCUU